rnacentral:lncRNA from 1 species
GAGAACCUCGCUCAUCUUGCGAGAGAGAGUUGUUGCACAGAGCUCCCUCCUUGCCCUGCUCCCUCAUCCUCGUCCUCCUCACCCUCAUCUCUACGUCCUGCUCGUCCUCAUCUGCUCCUCUUGUCUGGUAAACUUCGAAUCUUCGGUUGUUUUGCAGAUUGUGAUACUACUGAGCUUGAUUUGAUUUUUAGGGUCAAAUUGAGAUUAGAGUUUAGGGUUUUAUUUAUUUAUGGAAUCUAGGUUUAUUGAAAGGUGUUGAAUUUCAGAAUCUAAGUUGAGUUUUUGCAGGUUGUAUAAUGCGAUUUAGUUAAGGUUUACAUGUUAGAGUUUGUCAAUCUGUUAAAUUUUAUGUAGGGCAAGUUCUUGUUAUAUUUGAAAUAUCGGGUCUGUGAUUGCGAUUUCUUGUGUAACUACAUCUGUGUUAAAACCACGGAAUACAAUUCAUAAACACACCAUAUCUUCUUGAAACUCAGUCCAAACUCGGACCCAAAACUCGAAUUGUUCGUCAAAGAAAUGCAUCCGUCUUGAAUCUCAGUGUGUUUGUAGUCAUCUCAACCGGAUUCGAUCUCCCUGAAAUGUAAAAUUACUUCCUUCAACUAGCCUUAGACCUUAUCUAUAAUAUUGUGGCUGAAAGUUGAGGUCUAAAGGAAGCUGCAUGUAUGUGUGUGCUUUUGUGGUACAGAUCCCAUUAUAGGUUGCUGAGAAGAGGAGCAUAAUAAACGGAAGUGACAUCAGUUUUCGACAUGGAUCUGUUGAAUGUGGUCCUUGGAUGUAUGAAAGUCUGCGUUGCAUCUGUGUGAAUAUGACUUUUGUGAUAUGAUUUUUGUGAGAUGUGUGACUUUUGUGUCAUGCAUCCAUAAAUCUGAUUAAUUUGCCUCAAUAUGCUUGUGUGCUUGUUCUUCUAUGUAUGCAUGUUGGCCGUAUUAUGAAUGCAUCUGUAAUGAAUGUCUGGAUCAGAACUUAGCUUAAGUACCUGUCUCCUCUGUGCUCUACUUGGAUCACCCCAAACUUGUAUAUAAUUAUAUUUUGAAUGAAAAUGUGAGAGUGUGAGUGAAGGUUUCCAUUAGCAUAGAGGUCCUCUCAGCAUCCCCAAUGUAAGUAUCUCUGAACUCUGCCUGUGCUUGUCUCUACAUUCCUUGGAAAUCUGAUGAAUAUGGAUGAAUGAUGAAUGUGUUGAGGUGAAUGUAUGAAUGUUGCAGAAUGCAUGAUUCAAUCGAUUUUGCUCGCUUAGUGGGUAUGUAGGUCGAAUCAACUCGUUUGAUAUGGAGCCUUAAUUCAGUUGUCAAUUGUCUCCUUUCGUUUCGUUGUUUAAAGUGUUUCAGUAGUCGAACGUCAAAUAACAUCUGAAUAUGUGAUUGAUUUAGUUCGUUGAAUCAUAGUGUUUGUGCUUUCUUUGUGAAGGAGUCGGGACCUAUCGCCAGCUGGUAAUAAGACUCAUGCAAUUAUCAUGGGAAUAAGGCCUUACUGGAAUUUCUAAUGAGGAGAAUUGACGCUAUUGUAUUGCUAAUGUUUAUUGAAAUUGUAUUAUCACUUUUGUUAAUGUUUAUUGCCAUUUUGUGAUUGAUGUAUUUAUAUAAACUUUUGAAUACACGACAUAUUUCUGGUUUCUCGCUCUAUUACAAACCAUAUAUAGUUUGUUAGCUUUGUAGCUCACCCCCUUUUCAUCUUCCAUUUCGGAUUAGCUCGUGUAGUAGUGGUAUCACUUUUUGAAGUUUUGGCUGUGCGGUUGAUCGUGCACUUUAUUAAAUAUCCUGGAGGAAAGUUAGUGAACGAUGUUUUACAGAGUCAGUCAAUGGCAAAGACUGACUUGGCAAUGAAAUGAAAUGAUGAA